rnacentral:lncRNA from 1 species
AGGCGCCACCACUCGAGUCAAGGCAAAGAGUGCCGAGCUGACUCACUGCACGAGCUACACAGCUAGCACAGUCACCAUUGGAGAGGUCUCCUCGGCAUUGGAAGAGACCGUAAAGAGUGUCCUGUGGUGUGGGGGACUUGAUGGUGAAGUUGUUGUAGGUGGUGAACGCGGCUGAGCUGACAAGGGAUGUGAGUAGCAAGUUAACGUUGGACUCGUAAGGAGAACCUGGUGUGUAUUUUAG